CCCGGAGCAUUAAAGCGACGUACACGGCUUCUGACAAUAGCAAUUCGGAUGUAAACAAACGUCGCUAGCAAGUACAGAAUGGGGCAAAGAGGCUUCGUAAAUGGCUGCAAGUCAGCUGCUGCCAGCCCAAACUGACAAGUCGAGAGACGGGCCUGCUAUUUGGCAGCAGUCAAAGAACCAGUCAUCACGGAGACUUGCCUUUUGAUGCGAAAUGUCACAAAGGCGCAAAGUAGCUGAAAUUCCCCAAUGUGACCAAGCGGCGGCGCUGUUUCCCUCAACAAUGCAGAAAAGGGGAGCAUAAGACAGUUGCCCCGACGGAGAUGCACUUUAUUGAAAAUAAAGGUGGAAAAACACGGGCGAGGACGUAGGAAGGAAGGCAAAAACAACGCAAGCUUGGAUGCCAAACCCCUUUUAUCCCCAGCUGAGUCGCAUUCCAGCCGCCACACUGGCCUGGGAUUAACUAAAUCCGCGCAACCAGAAUAUGAUUCGUGGCCAACUUUGGACACAUAUCUGGAGAUGAUCAAUCAGAGGUCGGACUCAACUCCAAGUGCUAAUUCUUUAUCUUCAGAAGACAUUCUGGACAGUUGCAUGCGUCCAAAUGUGGAGCAGCGGGUUACGAAAGGGGAUUCUGGAGCUAUCUUCGUCUAUCUGGAGCGAGAUGAGAGAGAAACUCAGGGAAGGACGUAAAUGGCAACUCGCCCGAAUGUAAAGGCGAAGGAGCUGCAGACAAACAUCUCUCCUCAGAGCCAUCAUGAGAAAAACAGGUGCCGUGAUUGGAAGCGACGCAGUGAGCACAGAGGGAAGAAGCGGAAGACCGCUUCUUGGCGUCGUCCUCGCGAGACAAAACACCUCCUCUGCUUCUGCCAAACGGCUCUGACGGCUUCAUUCAGAGAGCCGACGAGCAGGCACACUGGGGCGGCGAGGGCCAAGUGCCAUCCGAACUAUCUUUCCUCGCCAUCUGUCUUGUUUCGAGGGUGGGGGGGCCCGCGGAGGCCCAUGUCUGAUGUGCCGAUAGAGGACCACGACACGACUUAUCGUACAGUACAUCCCCAACUGUUGAGAGCUUCCCAAAUCUGGAUUUUGGGAAGCCAGGCCUCAAAUUGUGUGUUUGUGGUUGCACAGUCUGCCAGGUUCAAAGGAAACUGUCCAGGUAUGCGUUAGUGCUGAACUCCUUCACCUGGCUGAGAGGAGAUUCAUAUCUGUGUGAGGAUUGAUGCUACAUGCGCACGCACACACACACACACACACACACACACACCCACAAGAUGGAUGAGAAGCUCUGUUUAAGCCCAAGACAUGGUUUGGCAUGUGCAGGUCCGGAUGUAUGUAAGGUCAGUUAUACGUCCGUCAGCAGACACACACUUCUCAGGGUGAAAGUGUUCAAAAAUGCUGAUGGAGCCGGUCAUGCACACAAGACUCCACUAGGUGGCCUCAGUGAGCGAACAGGAAGUCAUCGCAUAAGAGCAAGACUGAGAGCUGAUGGCGAGCCUUGAUGAGGCCCUGAACAGAAUUUGUUACACUUGUACAGGAUAUAGGAUUUUGAUGUUUGCGUCACUUUUUUUAAUCUCUUGAAAACUUUAAAAAUGUGUCCGCUUGCUCACGUUUUGUCUGACGGCUCGAAUGCUCGCCUUUAAACACCGAUGCCAUUAAAAACUGGUCCAAUGUCGACGCGUUCUCUCUCUUCCCGUAAUUAGACGUUUGCAGGAUUUUACAGCCAUUUCCGCUAUUCUUUCACAUUUAAAUACUUUAUUGACUAUUUCUAUUGUCAAAUUACUAUUUCAAUCUUAUUUCCCAAUGCAAUAUUGUGCAAACCAGUUUAAAAAUCUACUGCUGACACUUUCUCUUCAUGGCAUGACAGUUGUGAAAUGACGUCAUCGAAUUGCAGUUAUACCAUAACUUACUGUGAAAUAUUGACUGUAAAAGAAAUGCUACUAGUAUGCAGUAAUUCGCUGUAACUUGACUGCCCAAAAUUUGCAGCUGGUCUGCCGCAAUUACUUUGUGCGACAACCUUUGUGCAGCUUGAAGCAUGUGAAGAGGCUUCAACUCUCAAUUUCCAAACCUAAGCCAUGUUGACAGUCCAUAGGCUGAGCAGUGUUGCCAAGGUAACCAACCACCUUCUCCCGUGAAGUGAACAGGCCUCUCCCGACCACGCCUACUUGAAGUUGAGCGGGCGUGGCCCUGUGCGUAUCGGUCCGCGUGCCUUUUGAAUUAUUCAUGAACAUUAAUAUUCAGCCAAUGCUGGGAUAUUACAUGAGGCUCGUGCACGAUCGAGGUCACGCUCGAAAGCUGCUGCAUGGACGCCUGCUUUGCCGGCAAGCGACAAGUGAAGUGUGCGCAAACGCGCGCGCGUGGCUUUGGCGAGACGCUGCGUGAUGAAAGUGAUGUGGAGGAGUUGAAA